rnacentral:rRNA from 1 species
AGAGUUUGAUCCUGGCUCAGGACGAACGCUGGCGGCACGCCUAACACAUGCAAGUCGAACGGAGAUGAUUUGAGUUUACUUAGAUCAUCUUAGUGGCGGACGGGUGAGUAACACGUGAGCAACCUGCCUUUGAGAGAGGGAUAGCUUCUGGAAACGGAUGGUAAUACCUCAUAACAUACAGAUACCGCAUGGUGACUGUAUCAAAGAUUUAUCACUCAAAGAUGGGCUCGCGUCUGAUUAGAUAGUUGGUGAGGUAACGGCUCACCAAGUCGACGAUCAGUAGCCGGACUGAGAGGUUGAACGGCCUCAUUGGGACUGAGACACGGCCCAGACUCCUACGGGAGGCAGCAGUGGGGAAUAUUGCACAAUGGGGGAAACCCUGAUGCAGCGAUGCCGCGUGGAGGAAGAAGGGUUUCGGAUUGUAAACUCCUGUCUUAAAGGACGAUAAUGACGGUACUUUAGGAGGAAGCUCCGGCUAACUACGUGCCAGCAGCCGCGGUAAUACGUAGGGAGCGAGCGUUGUCCGGAAUUACUGGGUGUAAAGGGAGCGUAGGCGGGACGGCAAGUCAGAUGUGAAAUACAUGGGCUCAACCCAUGGGCUGCAUUUGAAACUGCUGUUCUUGAGUGAAGUAGAGGUAAGCGGAAUUCCUGGUGUAGCGGUGAAAUGCGUAGAUAUCAGGAGGAACACCGGUGGCGAAGGCGGCUUACUGGGCUUUUACUGACGCUGAGGCUCGAAAGCGUGGGGAGCAGACAGGAUUAGAUACCCUGGUAGUCCACGCUGUAAACGAUGAUUACUAGGUGUGGGGGGACUGACCCCUUCCGUGCCGCAGUUAACACAAUAAGUAAUCCACCUGGGGAGUACGGCCGCAAGGUUGAAACUCAAAGGAAUUGACGGGGGCCCGCACAAGCAGUGGAGUAUGUGGUUUAAUUCGAAGCAACGCGAAGAACCUUACCAGGUCUUGACAUCGAGUGCAUAACUAAGAGAUUAGUGAAAUCCCUUCGGGGACACUUAGACAGGUGGUGCAUGGUUGUCGUCAGCUCGUGUCGUGAGAUGUUGGGUUAAGUCCCGCAACGAGCGCAACCCUUACCUUUAGUUGCUACGCAAGAGCACUCUAAAGGGACUGCCGUUGACAAAACGGAGGAAGGUGGGGAUGACGUCAAAUCAUCAUGCCCCUUAUGACCUGGGCUACACGCGUACUACAA